UAAAGAGAUCCGAUCCAAAAGCCUAAAAAUGAACAUAUAUCAGUAGGGUUUCCAAAAAGGUGCAACUUCAGCUCCCUCUUCACCGUUGCUCUACGUACUCUUCCAUAGCUGUCCUUGAAAAUCAUCAGUUCGUGCUUCUUCUUUUGUGGGUGAUAAACACCGUGCCAUGGAUGGAUAUUAGCAUCUUGCCUUCCAGCUUGCAAGAUUGUGUUCUCCAGUGUAAGGAUCCCUUCUGUUCUUUUUGGUGCUAAAAAUGUGGUCUGGUCAGUUGAGCUUUGGUACUUAGUCCAGCUAUGGAAGGGAGGAAGAUUGUAUGGAGCUCGAAUCCACUUGUAGUCGAACAAGACCAAAAACCUCAACGGCAUGAAUUGAAGAUCUGACCUAAAGACCUCCCCAUCUACUGAGAGUCCUUUUUGUUUGGUUGGUGUAUGUAGGCUAACUUUUUUUUGUAGCUGAAGAGGUUGUAAAUAUAACCCUUUCCCUUUAGCCUUUCUAGUUCAUUUAGCUUGUUGCUACUACUAAUCUCAGAUAACAUCUUUGCUGCUUAUCAUUAUUCAAUAUCUUCCUUUCUGCACUUGGUAACUGAUUGAAGGAAGUAUAUGCGAAUUGUUCAUGUUCCAAAGUUAUGUUGGCUAAGUCAUCUACUAAUUGAUUGUCUUCCCUGUAAA